GGAAGAGAAGAGAAAAGUUUUGCCAAGCGGAUAAGCGCCGGAGAACAGAUGUGUGUUUCGAAGAUGGAUAGACUUAAGUCUUCAGUGAAGUCUCUGCAAUUUAUGAGAGCAAGAGAAGCCGUCUCACUGGAGAGCAUGCUGAAAAACACCACAAUCUGCAAAUUUUAUUUAACUUUUUUUUUAUUUACUUUAUAAAACUUCAGGAAGCUAUAAUGCGAUGCUGCUGUCCCUGGGAACUCCCUGUACUUUUUGUUAGAAUUUUGAAACAAAGAUGUCUAUUGUCUAAGAUUUUUUUUAAAAACCCUUUAACGUGUUGCAAAUCUGAAAAGCUGUUUAAUAAACAUAUGCUGAAAGGCA